rnacentral:rRNA from 1 species
AAUGAACGCUAGCGGGAUGAUUUACACAUGCAAGUAGAACGAGUGGCGGACGGGUGAGUAAUAUAUCGGAACGUGCCCAGAAGGGGGGGAUAACUACUCGAAAGAGUGGCUAAUACCGCAUACUAUUGGCGCGGCCGAUAGCGGUUUAGCUAGUUGGUGGGGGAAAGGCUAACCAAGGCAACGAUCCGUAGCGGGUAUGAGAGGACGACCAGCCACACUGGGCCUGGGACACGGCCCAGACUCCUACGGGAGGCAGCAGUGGGGAAUGUUGGACAAUGGGGGAAACCCUGAUCCAGCCAUCCCGCGUGUAUGAGAAGGCCGUCGGGUUGUAAAGUACUUUUGGCAGAGAAGCGGUAUCUGCAGAAUAAGCACCGGCUAACUACGUGCCAGCAGCCGCGGUAAUAC